AUAACAUGUUGAAACACUGAUUCCCAUAUGAUCACCAAAGUUAAGCAACAUCAAGCUUGGUCAGUACCUAGAUGGGUGACUGCUUAGGAAUACCAAGUGCUGUAAG